UGAGCCUGUAACUAUGAAGAA
rnacentral:siRNA from 1 species